GCCCUCACAGCAGAGGAGGAAAGUCUUGUUGCUGCCAAAGCUAACAGUACAAUGUGAAACAAAAGGAGAUUUUAUUUUUAAGUAGUAGAAGGGCACCAACUUAAUUUCAUUUUCUUAUUACUUUGAAUGAUAUAGACACAAAACCUAUGGCUUAUCAAUAGUGAACAAAACCUCAAAGACUGAAGUGGGGGAUUAGAGUUAAGAGAUUUGAACUUUGGAUUUCUAAGCAAGUCUGAGUAUGAGACCAUGGGAACCUUUCAAGUUGCACUGAAUGCAUUUUGCACUAUGAUAUGUUUACAAGCCUAUGGGAGCCAUGGAAUGGAAUGUGAUGGUUUGAAUAAAAUGGUCUCUAUUGAUUCAGAUGGAAUGGCAUCAUUAGAAGAUGUUGUUGGAAUUGGCCUUGUUGGAGUAGCUGCAUGUGGAUCAAGGUGAAGAACUCUCUCAUCUUCUUCUUCAGCCUGUAUGCCACCAUACUUAUUGCCAUGACAAAAU